CACCACCCGCAAGACCGCGCAGGCAUCUUCAUAGAGAAUGGCGUACCUAGGAUGCGGAAGCUCCGCCACCCAAAACGCCACAGCGCACGAUAUACCUCAGCACCCUCACCGGCACUGUCCCGCUCACCAUCCAUCUCAGCCGCGUCCAACGGGGUCGGUUAUCUUGUAAAAGCCGCGCCUCGGGUGCGUGACCGCCACUGCGAGGAGUCCCCCAGACGUCUGCGGUGUUGCCCGAGUCUGGAAGAAGAACAACGUCGUCGCGGAAUUGCCGACGCCAGCGCUGACAAGGUCGCCUUCGCCGCCUCCCACUCCAUGUUUCUCUGCGAGCCAUUCGGGCUGCCCGACCCUUUCCUGCCCCCGCCCGAGGAGACGCCCGACCCGUUCCCACCGCCGGUGCAGACCGUCCAAAGCGCCUCUCCCCCGUCGUUUCAAGAUUAUGCGCUGUCUCGGCUUCUCGCUCCGACUAGCGAGAUGGGGCGCUGGCUGCCGGCGAAAGGAGCACGUGACCCAUCGGAGAGAAGCUUUCACGCACAGGAAGCUGUGUCGCCGACCAAGGUGAAACACUCGGCUUAGGUUUCUGCGUGGGUGCGCACACGAAGAAGAGGUCGGCCAAGGGGCGUCGAGCAGUCACGGAUCUUGGCUCAUUACCGUAGCACUCGACGUGGUUGCUCCUGAAAGCAAAAAUAAGUCCUCUAUUUACCUAUAUAUUCCGUGCCUGCUUCUACUAGGUCGUAUGGAAGGAGUGCUUGUGCACCUCACGUGCCCCCCACCCCACUCCCUUUUCCAACGGACGCAACGGUUUCUCUUUGCUUUUUUUUUAUUCGGAUCUCUCCUACCAGUGGACUCGACAUUUGUGUACAUCGGGUGGUGUUUGUUUGUGUCUCUCGUUACAUGUAUAUGUACAUGUACACACAUAUAUAUAUAUAUCUGGAUAAGUCAAGCUUCUGCAUUCACACACACAAAAAGCGAUGCAAAGGCACUGCUUUUUUGCCCCCCCCCCUGAGGUGUUGGUGCUAGUUGAAGUGCACGCUUCUUGAACGUGCUGGCGGUUUUUUCCGUUCUGUUUUUCUUUCGGUGUGGGUUCGUGACGGUAUGCCAGGUAGGUAG
rnacentral:misc_RNA from 1 species